GACGAACGCUGGCGGCGUGCCUAAUACAUGCAAGUCGAACGCUUUUUCUUUCACCGGAGCUUGCUCCACCGAAAGAAAAAGAGUGGCGAACGGGUGAGUAACACGUGGGUAACCUGCCCAUCAGAAGGGGAUAACACUUGGAAACAGGUGCUAAUACCGUAUAACACUAUUUUCCGCAUGGAAGAAAGUUGAAAGGCGCUUUUGCGUCACUGAUGGAUGGACCAGCGGUGCAUUAGCGAGUUGGUGAGGUAACGGCUCACCAAGGCAACGAUGCAUAGCCGACCUGAGAGGGUGAUCGGCCACACUGGGACUGAGACACGGCCCAGACUCCUACGGGAGGCAGCAGUAGGGAAUCUUCGGCAAUGGACGAAAGUCUGACCGAGCAACGCCGCGUGAGUGAAGAAGGUUUUCGGAUCGUAAAACUCUGUUGUUAGAGAAGAACAAGGAUGAGAGUAGAACGUUCAUCCCUUGACGGUAUCUAACCAGAAAGCCACGGCUAACUACGUGCCAGCCGCCGCAGUAA
rnacentral:rRNA from 1 species